UUGAGCGGUAUGCGGGGAAACUUGCACGUACCGUUCUUAGGGGGCGGCGUGACAGAGAUGUCACGUUGCUACCCGAC
rfam:Candidatus Hamiltonella defensa 5AT (Acyrthosiphon pisum), complete genome.